rnacentral:rRNA from 1 species
AGAGUUUGAUCCUGGCUCAGGAUGAACGCUAGCUACAGGCUUAACACAUGCAAGUCGAGGGGAAACGACAUCGAAAGCUUGCUUUUGAUGGGCGUCGACCGGCGCACGGGUGAGUAACGCGUAUCCAACCUGCCCAUCACUUGGGGAUAACCUUGCGAAAGUAAGACUAAUACCCAAUGACGUCUCUAGAAGACAUCUGAAAAGAGAUUAAAGAUUUAUCGGUGAUGGGAUGGGGAUGCGUCUGAUUAGCUUGUUGGCGGGUAACGGCCACCAAGGCGACGAUCGAGUAGGGGUUCUGAGACGGAAGGUCCCCCACAUUGGAACUGAGACACGGUCCAAACGUCCUACGGGAGGCA